AUGUGAUUUAAGACUGUGCUUGAAGAAUGAAGACCGGGCCGUUAUCUGCCUGUUAUUGAUGCGAGCCGUAACUCUCACUGUCCACACUCCACAGGCAGAUGGAAAAGAGAGACGGAGGGCUGCUGCUCUAGAAGGAUGGGUGGAUGGAAGAAAAGAAACAGAGGAGGGCUAAUGCCAGCAGACUGAUAGCUUUCCCUGUAAUGUUCAGACUUCAGACUGUCAGCGUAAGAUGUUAAGUGACAGCUGACUGACAAGUGACAACACCAGCGGCACACACCAGUAUGCCAGAUAUCUCAGGAGGCACAGCUGUGAUUUGCAGGAAAUCAUGAUACAAUAUAACUACUGAUGCUCCUCAAAAGAAUUAGAUGUGAGUGAAAGAUGUAUUGACAGUCUCAUUUUGUGUACAAGAAAUCAGAGAGAAGGGUCAGUGUGUGUCUGAGGUAGUGAUUUAUGAUCCUUCGAGGUCAGAAAGCAUCAGAGGGGAGAGAAGCAGGUUUAGAGGCCACAGAGCAAGGUCAGAGGUCAACUCAGUGGUUUAGGCCAGGGCAGUGAAAUGUGCUGAGAGAAGUUCAAAACUCUCCUGGGGAGCUCUGCCCUGAUGUGAUCCUGGCUGUGGGAGGGUAUGAGUGUGUUUCCCCCCCUGAGGGGAACGUAAUCAAUGUGGCACUGCAGAGGGUGGCACGACAAGGAUGGGACCUGACCAACCCAGAAGGGGCUGCAGGAUGGAGGAGGAGAUACAUACAGAGAUAAUCACUAGAUAUCACCAUCUGGGUGGACAGAGCAGGGCCAAACAAAGGCAUGCACUGCAACACAUAUCUGUCACAACACACACACACACACACACACACACACACACA